rnacentral:rRNA from 1 species
AACUUUACAAUGCGGGAAACCGUGAUAAGGGAAUCUCGAGUGCCAGCAUAUAAUGUUGGCUGUCCAGAUGCCUAAAAAGCAUCUGUUAGCAAGGGCCGGGCAAGACCGGUGCCAGCCGCCGCGGUAACACCGGCGGCCCGAGUGGUAACCGCUUUUAUUGGGUCUAAAGGGUCUGUAGCCGGCCAAGUAAGUCCCUUGGGAAAUCUGGCAGCUUAACUGUCAGGCUGCUAGGGGAUACUGCUAGGCUUGGGACCGGGAGAGGUGAGAGGUACCUUGGGGGUAGGGGUGAAAUCUUGUGAUCCUCGGGGGACCACCAGUGGCGAAGGCGUCUCACCAGAACGGGUCCGACGGUAAGGGACGAAAGCUAGGGGCACGAACCGGAUUAGAUACCCGGGUAGUCCUAGCCGUAAACGAUGCUCGCUAGGUGUCAGUCACGGUGCGACCGUGAUUGGUGCCGUAGGGAAGCCGUGAAGCGAGCCACCUGGGAAGUAUGGCCGCAAGGCUGAAACUUAA